CCAUGCUGCCUGGAGUCUGCGUAGCUCCAGCAACCAGCCUGCCUUGGAGGAAUGAGAAUCAGAGGCUCUGCUCCGGCUGAUACAUCUGGAGCUACUCUAUGGCAUCAGCUGUAUACUUUCAAAGAAAUGGAGGCCAGGGGCAAGAUGAAAAACAUACCAGACCACAAGUCAAGAGAUCCUGGAUCUAACUUUGACUGAGUUUCAACCUGUGUGGCCGAUGAAGUCUGCAGAGCAAGACUACAUGCCUUGUGGAAUCUUAGUUCCCUGACCAGGGAUUGAACUUCUAUCCCCUGCAGUGGAAGCGUAGAGUUUUAACCACUGGAUCACCAUGGAAUUCCCAAAAUACAUGUAUUAAAAACACUUUGGACCAAGAAUAAUCCUCAGGUGUGGGUCUAAAAAUCACAGCUGCUCUAAUUCAUUACAGCUCCUCUUACAGCUCACAGGACAAAAAUAGCAAAACCGGUCCUUCUUGUUCCUAACUAAAUAAUUCCUACUAUGCAAAUGGUGGCAAGCCGGAUUUGUUACACACGUGGUUCCACUUUCAAUCACUGUGGU